GAGUAAUGUCUGGGAAACUGCCUGAUGGAGGGGGAUAACUACUGGAAACGGUGGCUAAUACCGCAUAACGUCGCAAGACCAAAGAGGGGGACCUUCGGGCCUCUUGCCAUCAGAUGUGCCCAGAUGGGAUUAGCUUGUUGGUGAGGUAACGGCUCACCAAGGCGACGAUCCCUAGCUGGUCUGAGAGGAUGACCAGCCACACUGGAACUGAGACACGGUCCAGACUCCUACGGGAGGCAGCAGUGGGGAAUAUUGCACAAUGGGCGCAAGCCUGAUGCAGCCAUGCCGCGUGUAUGAAGAAGGCCUUCGGGUUGUAAAGUACUUUCAGCGGGGAGGAAGGUGUUGUGGUUAAUAACCGCAGCAAUUGACGUUACCCGCAGAAGAAGCACCGGCUAACUCCGUGCCAGCAGCCGCGGUAAUACGGAGGGUGCAAGCGUUAAUCGGAAUUACUGGGCGUAAAGCGCACGCAGGCGGUCUGUCAAGUCGGAUGUGAAAUCCCCGGGCUCAACCUGGGAACUGCAUUCGAAACUGGCAGGCUUGAGUCUUGUAGAGGGGGGUAGAAUUCCAGGUGUAGCGGUGAAAUGCGUAGAGAUCUGGAGGAAUACCGGUGGCGAAGGCGGCCCCCUGGACAAAGACUGACGCUCAGGUGCGAAAGCGUGGGGAGCAAACAGGAUUAGAUACCCUGGUAGUCCACGCCGUAAACGAUGUCUACUUGGAGGUUGUGCCCUUGAGGCGUGGCUUCCGGAGCUAACGCGUUAAGUAGACCGCCUGGGGAGUACGGCCGCAAGGUUAAAACUCAAAUGAAUUGACGGGGGCCCGCACAAGCGGUGGAGCAUGUGGUUUAAUUCGAUGCAACGCGAAGAACCUUACCUGGUCUUGACAUCCACGGAAGUUUUCAGAGAUGAGAAUGUGCCUUCGGGAACCGUGAGACAGGUGCUGCAUGGCUGUCGUCAGCUCGUGUUGUGAAAUGUUGGGUUAAGUCCCGCAACGAGCGCAACCCUUAUCCUUUGUUGCCAGCGGUCCGGCCGGGAACUCAAAGGAGACUGCCAGUGAUAAACUGGAGGAAGGUGGGGAUGACGUCAAGUCAUCAUGGCCCUUACGACCAGGGCUACACACGUGCUACAAUGGCGCAUACAAAGAGAAGCGACCUCGCGAGAGCAAGCGGACCUCAUAAAGUGCGUCGUAGUCCGGAUUGGAGUCUGCAACUCGACUCCAUGAAGUCGGAAUCGCUAGUAAUCGUGGAUCAGAAUGCCACGGUGAAUACGUUCCCGGGCCUUGUACACACCGCCCGUCACACCAUGGGAGUGGGUUGCAAAAGAAGUAGGUAGCUUAACCUUCGGGAGGGCGCUUACCACUUUGUGAUUCAUGACUGGGGUGAAGUCGUAACAAGGUAACCGUAGGGGAACCUGCGGUUGGAUCACCUCCUUACCUUAAAGAAGC
rnacentral:rRNA from 1 species